rfam:Schistosoma mattheei strain Denwood, Zambia genome assembly, scaffold: SMTD_scaffold0001387
AUUCAGCUGACGAGUCCCAACUAGGAUCAAACACGCGUCUAAACUGGAU